AGAGUUUGAUCAUGGCUCAGAGCGAACGCUGGCGGCGUGCUUAACACAUGCAAGUCGAACGCGCAGCAUUCUGUAGCAAUACAGGGUGUGGGCGCGUGGCGAACGGGUGCGUAACACGUGGAUAACCUUCCUUGAGGUGGGGAAUAACCCAGUGAAAAUUGGGCUAAUACCGCAUAACAUCGCGAUGGCACAUGCUGAUGCGAUCAAAGGCGCAAGUCGCCACAAGAGGGAUCCGCGGCCGAUUAGCUUGUUGGCGAGGUAAUGGCUCACCAAGGCAAUGAUCGGUAGCCGGACUGAGAGGUUGGCCGGCCACACUGGAACUGAGACACGGUCCAGACUCCUACGGGAGGCAGCGGUGGGGAAUCUUGCACAAUGGACGAAAGUCUGAUGCAGCAACGCCGCGUGGGGGAUGAAGCUUCUCGGAGUGUAAACCCCUUUCGACCCGGAAGAAUGCCCGCAAGGGUAUGACGGUACGGGUAUAAGAAGCCCCGGCUAACUACGUGCCAGCAGCCGCGGUAAUACGUAGGGGGCCAGCGUUGCUCGGAAUUACUGGGCGUAAAGGGUCCGUAGGCGGUGUAGCAAGUCGAUAGUGAAAUCUCUGGGCUUAACCCAGAGGCUGCUAACGAAACUGCUGUGCUAGAGUGUGAGAGAGGCGAGUGGAAUUACGGGUGUAGCGGUGAAAUGCGUAGAUAUCCGUAGGAACAUCCGAGGCGAAGGCGGCUCGCUGGAUCACAACUGACGCUGAGGGACGAAAGCUAGGGGAGCAAACAGGAUUAGAUACCCUAGUAGUCC
rnacentral:rRNA from 1 species